GAUGAACGCUGGCGGCGUGCCUAAUACAUGCAAGUCGAGCGAAUGGAUUGAGAGCUUGCUCUUAUGAAGUUAGCGGCGGACGGGUGAGUAACACGUGGGUAACCUGCCCAUAAGACUGGGAUAACUCCGGGAAACCGGGGCUAAUACCGGAUAACAUUUUGAACCGCAUGGUUCGAAGUUGAAUGGCGGCUUCGGCUGUCACUUAUGGAUGGACCCGCGUCGCAUUAGCUAGUUGGUGAGGUAACGGCUCACCAAGGCAACGAUGCGUAGCCGACCUGAGAGGGUGAUCGGCCACACUGGGACUGAGACACGGCCCAGACUCCUACGGGAGGCAGCAGUAGGGAAUCUUCCGCAAUGGACGAAAGUCUGACGGAGCAACGCCGCGUGAGUGAUGAAGGCUUUCGGGUCGUAAAACUCUGUUGUUAGGGAAGAACAAGUGCUAGUUGAAUAAGCUGGCACCUUGACGGUACCUAACCAAAAAGCCACGGCUAACUACGUGCCAGCCGCCGCCGUAA
rnacentral:rRNA from 1 species